UCUCUUUUUUCUACAAAAGAUAAAAAAAAUUAAAAAAGUUAGUAAGCUAUGUUCACAAGAAAAUCAAAAAAAUCAAACAUUAAAAUUGACGUCUUCUCUAAUAAUGGUACUAAAAAUUGAUAUGCCCACGAUGUUAUCAUUAUGACACCAUGAUUAUCAAAUUAAAUCUGACUUUAAUAAAAAUUUAAAAUAUGUAGAGAGUAGCGAGUC
rnacentral:lncRNA from 1 species